UACGUAGGGGGCUAGCGUUGUCCGGAUUUAUUGGGCGUAAAGCGCGUGUAGGCGGCACUGCAAGUCGGGUGUGAAAGCCCUCAGCUCAACUGAGGAAGUGCGCCCGAAACUGCAGUGCUUGAGUACCGGAGAGGAUGGCGGAAUUCCCCAAGUAGAGGUGAAAUUCGUAGAUAUGGGGAGGAACACCGGUGGCGAAGGCGGCCAUCUGGACGGAUACUGACGCUGAGACGCGAAAGCGUGGGUAGCAAACAGG
rnacentral:rRNA from 1 species